CCAUGAACAACGCAAAACAACAUUCGUGUUUUCUCAGUUACCCAUCCGGGACGAGGCCUCACGCCAGGGACGUCCCGGAUCGCAGGAAACGAAAUGGAGAAGGAACUAAAUGAACAAUCUUGGGUGCGGUGCUCUCCUUUCUUCGCCGUGGAGAGGAUCGCAAUGAUUGAGCGUACAU
rnacentral:sRNA from 1 species